GACGAACGCUGGCGGCGUGCCUAAUACAUGCAAGUAGAACGCUGAAGCUUGGUGCUUGCACCGAGCGGAUGAGUUGCGAACGGGUGAGUAACGCGUAGGUAACCUGCCUGGUAGCGGGGGAUAACUAUUGGAAACGAUAGCUAAUACCGCAUAAGAGUAAAUGUUGCAUGACAUUUGCUUAAAAGGUGCAAUUGCAUCACUACCAGAUGGACCUGCGUUGUAUUAGCUAGUUGGUGAGGUAACGGCUCACCAAGGCAACGAUACAUAGCCGACCUGAGAGGGUGAUCGGCCACACUGGGACUGAGACACGGCCCAGACUCCUACGGGAGGCAGCAGUAGGGAAUCUUCGGCAAUAGACGGAAGUCUGACCGAGCAACGCCGCGUGAGUGAAGAAGGUUUUCGGAUCGUAAAGCUCUGUUGUAAGAGAAGAACGAGUGUGAGAGUGGAAAGUUCACACUGUGACGGUAUCUUACCAGAAAGGGACGGCUAACUACGUG
rnacentral:rRNA from 1 species